UGUAGUGCUUUCUGUUCCGCAGGUUGCAGGUUCAAUUCCCGCGUGAAUCUGGGUGUAUUAUUUGUUUUUAUAUUUGUAUUAUUUCUAUGUAUAUUUAUCAAAAAAAAAAAAUGUAUAUAUUUGGUUAUACCAGUCGGUUGUUACCUAUAACAUAAAGCAUUAAGUUCCUUACUUUAGGAACAGAUGACCGAGUGUGUAUGAUGCAGAUAUUUAUUUAUUUGCUUAUUUUAUCUUGAGGCUAUAUUUCAAUCCCUAGCCUGACACAAACAAAGGCGGAUAAAAUAAGUAUAUAAUAAAUAGUUAGUAUUGAGUAUUACUAAUGUGCUAGUUUUUAUUGAUAGUCAAACAGUUAUGCCUGACUAUCCAGUAUCUCUGUUACUGCACUGACAUUAGAUAAGACAUUGUCCUACAUUGCAUUUGAUAUAAGAAUAAUGCGCGUCUUGCCUCGAGCUUGUGGCUCCGUUCCACAAUGUCAUAUCAUUAACAAAGGAAACGUUAGAACUAUAUCCGCGAUAUAAGUAAUUAUUUAAAAAAACGCGAUAAAAAAUUAGCAUGUCUGAUCUAAAACCAAAAUAGAAUAAAAUCUGUCUACCGAUAAUUAAACGUGGACACAUA
rnacentral:misc_RNA from 1 species